CCCCAGGGCCCAGGAGCAGGGUUCCCCUGUAGGGUGCGGUUCCCAUAAAGACCACUCGAGAAAGGGGAGACUGUCUUUAAUCGUUUGAAUUAAAAAGUCAGUAAAGGUU